rnacentral:rRNA from 1 species
GAUGAACGCUGGCGGCGUGCUUAACACAUGCAAGUCGAACGAGAAAUGUAGACGGAAACCUUCGGGCGGAAGCCUUCAUUUCGAGUGGCGGCCGGGUGAGUAACGCGUGGGUAACCUGCCUCAUACAGGGGGAUAACAGUUGGAAACGACUGUUAAUACCGCAUAAGACCACAGCAUCGCAUGAUGCGGGGGUAAAAACUCCGGUGGUAUGAGAUGGACCCGCGUUCGAUUAGCCAGUUGGCGGGGUAACGGCCCACCAAAGCGACGAUCGAUAGCCGAUCUGAGAGGAUGACCGGCCACAUUGGGACUGAGACACGGCCCAAACUCCUACGGGAGGCAGCAGUGGGGAAUAUUGCACAAUGGGGGAAACCCUGAUGCAGCGACGCCGCGUGAGUGAAGAAGUACUUCGGUAUGUAAAGCUCUAUCAGCAGGGAAGAAAAUGACGGUACCUGAGGAAGAAGCCCCGGCUAACUACGUG